rnacentral:rRNA from 1 species
UACGGAGGGUGCAAGCGUUAUCCGGAUUUACUGGGUUUAAAGGGUGCGUAGGUGGGCCUGUAAGUCAGUGGUGAAAUCUUCAAGCUUAACUUGGAAACUGCCAUUGAUACUAUAGGUCUUGAAUUAUCUGGAGGUAAGCGGAAUAUGUCAUGUAGCGGUGAAAUGCUUAGAGAUCCGGAGGAACACCAAAGGCGAAGGCAGUGUCCUGGGGAGUACCUGACGCUCAGGUGCGAAAGCCAGGGGAGCGAACGGG